rnacentral:rRNA from 1 species
AUUGAACGCUGGCGGCAGGCCUAACACAUGCAAGUCGAACGGUAGCACAGAGAGCUUGCUCUCGGGUGACGAGUGGCGGACGGGUGAGUAACGUCUGGGAAACUGCCCGAUGGAGGGGGAUAACUACUGGAAACAGUAGCUAAUACCGCAUAACGUCGCAAGACCAAAGUGGGGGACCUUCGGGCCUCGCACCAUCGGAUGGGUCCCGAUGGGAUUAGCUAGUAGGGGGGGUAAUGGCUCACCUAGGCGACGAUCCCUAGCUGGUCUGUGAGGAUGACCAGCCACACUGGAACUGAGACACGGUCCAGACUCCUACGGGAGGCAGCAGUGGGGAAUAUUGCACAAUGGGCGCAAGCCUGAUGCAGCCAUGCCGCGUGUAUGAAGAAGGCCUUCGGGUUGUAAAGUACUUUCAGCGGGGAGGAAGGCGGUGAAGUUAAUAGCUUCACCGAUUGACGUUACCCGCAGAAGAAGCACCGGCUAACUCCGUGCCAGCAGCCGCGGUAA